AGUGAACGCUGGCGGUAGGCCUAACACAUGCAAGUCGAACGGCAGCACAGUAAGAGCUUGCUCUUACGGGUGGCGAGUGGCGGACGGGUGAGGAAUACAUCGGAAUCUACUUUUUCAUGGGGGAUAACGUAGGGAAACUUACGCUAAUACCGCAUACGACCUACGGGUGAAAGCAGGGGAUCUUCGGACCUUGCGCGAUUGAAUGAGCCGAUGUCGGAUUAGCUAGUUGGCGGGGUAAAGGCCCACCAAGGCGACGAUCCGUAGCUGGUCUGAGAGGAUGAUCAGCCACACUGGAACUGAGUCACGGUCCAGACUCCUACGGGAGGCAGCAGUGGGGAAUAUUGGACAAUGGGCGCAAGCCUGAUCCAGCCAUACCGCGUGGGUGAAGAAGGCCUUCGGGUUGUAAAGCCCUUUUGUUGGGAAAGAAAAGCAGCAGGUUAAUACCCCGCUGUUCUGACGGUACCCAAAGAAUAAGCACCGGCUAACUUCGUG
rnacentral:rRNA from 1 species